rnacentral:rRNA from 1 species
UGAGGAAUCUUGCGCAAUGGGGGAAACCCUGACGCAGCAACGCCGCGUGAGUGAGGAAGGUCUUCGGGUCGUAAAGCUCUGUCAGGCGGGAAGAAAUGCAUGGAGGUGAACAGCCGCCAUGCUUGACGGUACCGCCAGAGGAAGCACCGGCUAACUCCGUGCCAGCAGCCGCGGUAAUACGGGGGGUGCAAGCGUUGUUCGGAAUCAUUGGGCGUAAAGAGCGUGUAGGCGGCUUGGUAAGUCAGAUGUGAAAGCCCUGGGCUCAACCCGGGAAGUGCAUUUGAAACUGUCAGGCUCGAGUAGGGGAGAGGGAAGUGGAAUUCCUGGUGUAGAGGUGAAAUUCGUAGAUAUCAGGAGGAACACCCGUGGCGAAGGCGACUUCCUGGCCCUAUACUGACGCUGAGACGCGAGAGCGUGGGUAGCAAACGG